AGAGUUUGAUCCUGGCUCAGGACGAACGCUGGCGGCACGCUUAACACAUGCAAGUCGAACGAGAGAAGAGGAGCUUGCUUUUCUGAUCUAGUGGCGGACGGGUGGGUAACACGUGAGCAAUCUGCCUUUCAGAGGGGGAUACCGAUUGGAAACGAUCGUUAAUACCGCAUAACAUAAUUGAACCGCAUGAUUUGAUUAUCAAAGAUUUAUCGCUGAAAGAUGAGCUCGCGUCUGAUUAGCUAGUUGGUAAGGUAACGGCUUACCAAGGCGACGAUCAGUAGCCGGACUGAGAGGUUGAUCGGCCACAUUGGGACUGAGACACGGCCCAGACUCCUACGGGAGGCAGCAGUGGGGAAUAUUGCACAAUGGAGGAAACUCUGAUGCAGCGAUGCCGCGUGAGGGAAGAAGGUUUUAGGAUUGUAAACCUCUGUCUUCAGGGACGAAAAAAGACGGUACCUGAGGAGGAAGCUCCGGCUAACUACGUGCCAGCAGCCGCGGUAAUACGUAGGGAGCGAGCGUUGUCCGGAAUUACUGGGUGUAAAGGGAGCGUAGGCGGGAUCGCAAGUCAGAUGUGAAAACUAUGGGCUUAACCCAUAAACUGCAUUUGAAACUGUGGUUCUUGAGUGAAGUAGAGGUAAGCGGAAUUCCUAGUGUAGCGGUGAAAUGCGUAGAUAUUAGGAGGAACAUCAGUGGCGAAGGCGGCUUACUGGGCUUUAACUGACGCUGAGGCUCGAAAGCGUGGGGAGCAAACAGGAUUAGAUACCCUGGUAGUCCACGCCGUAAACGAUGAUUACUAGGUGUGGGGGGACUGACCCCUUCCGUGCCGCAGCAAACGCAAUAAGUAAUCCACCUGGGGAGUACGACCGCAAGGUUGAAACUCAAAGGAAUUGACGGGGGCCCGCACAAGCAGUGGAGUAUGUGGAUUAAUUCGAAGCAACGCGAAGAACCUUACCAGGUCUUGACAUCGUAUGCAUAGCUCAGAGAUGAGUGAAAUCUCUUCGGAGACAUAUAGACAGGUGGUGCAUGGUUGUCGUCAGCUCGUGUCGUGAGAUGUUGGGUUAAGUCCCGCAACGAGCGCAACCCUUACUGUUAGUUGCUACGCAAGAGCACUCUAGCAGGACUGCCGUUGACAAAACGGAGGAAGGUGGGGAUGACGUCAAAUCAUCAUGCCCCUUAUGACCUGGGCCUCACACGUACUACAAUGGCUGUCAACAGAGGGAAGCAAAGCCGCGAGGUGGAGCGAACCCCUAAAAGCAGUCUUAGUUCGGAUUGUAGGCUGCAACCCGCCUACAUGAAGUCGGAAUUGCUAGUAAUCGCAGAUCAGCAUGCUGCGGUGAAUACGUUCCCGGGCCUUGUACACACCGCCCGUCACGCCAUGGGAGUCGGUAACACCCGAAGCCUGUAGUCUAACCGCAAGGAGGACGCAGUCGAAGGU
rnacentral:rRNA from 1 species